CCAAAAGUGGCAAAAAAUUAAUGCAUCAUUCUCUCUCCUUUCUACACACCAUUUUCGUUUCCUUCACCAACACACACCUUCAUAAUCUUUCUUCCUCUCCUCAAUACCAAGAAUGAGCACCCAAGAGACCCCAUUUGAAGUUGCAACUCCAUUCAAGACAAUAAACCCACACUACUACUACUUCAACUCAACCCAAUCUUCCAUUUUUUCAAGCUCUUGUGCAAAAAACGAAAAUGACAUUAUACCAUUCAACUCAACCACUGUCCAGCCCCAAUAACAUCAUUAAAGUCUGGUUUAAAACUAGUUUCAAACAUCAAAACCGAAAUAUGAAGGAAAAGAGCCAAACCCACAACACCCACACAUCAAGUUAAGCUCUAUUCAACCCAA
rnacentral:lncRNA from 1 species